rnacentral:rRNA from 1 species
AUUGAACGCUGGCGGCAUGCCUUACACAUGCAAGUCGAACGGUAACAGGUCUUCGGAUGCUGACGAGUGGCGAACGGGUGAGUAAUACAUCGGAACGUGCCUAGUAGUGGGGGAUAACUACUCGAAAGAGUGGCUAAUACCGCAUGAGAUCUACGGAUGAAAGCAGGGGAUCGCAAGACCUUGUGCUACUAGAGCGGCCGAUGGCAGAUUAGGUAGUUGGUGGGAUAAAAGCUUACCAAGCCGACGAUCUGUAGCUGGUCUGAGAGGACGAUCAGCCACACUGGGACUGAGACACGGACCAGACUCCGCCGGGAGGCAGCAGUGGGGAAUUUUGGACAAUGGGCGAAAGCCUGAUCCAGCAAUGCCGCGUGCAGGAUGAAGUCCUGCGGGUUGUAAACUGCUUUUGCACGGAACGAAAAGCCCUGGGUUAAUACCCUGGGGUCAUGACGGUACCGUAAGAAUAAGCACCGGCUAACUACGUGCCAGCCGCCGCCGUAA